CCUACGGGGGGCAGCAGUGGGGGAUAGUGGACAAUGGGGGGAACCCUGAUCCAGCGACGCCGCGUGAGUGAAGAAGGAUUUCGGAAUGUAAAGCUCUGUCAGCAGGGAAGAAAGCAAUGACGGUACCGGACCAAGAAGCCCCGGCUAACUCCGUGCCAGCAGCCGCGGUAAUACGUCGGGGGCAAGCGUUAUCCGGAAUGACUGGGUGUAACGGGAGCGUAGACGGCGGUGCAAGGCUGGAGUGAAAGGCGGGGGCCCAACCCCCGGACUGCUCUGGAAACUGUAUGGCUGGAGUGCAGGCGAGGUCAGCGUAAUUCCUCGUGUAGCGGUGCAAUGCGUAGAUAUU
rnacentral:rRNA from 1 species